CACAGGCUGCUCCCAGCUCUGCCUGCGGACCUUCGGCAAUUGCCGACAGCAGUUCUUUGCCCUGCCAUCCAGAAGGGGCAGCUCAUCUGACACCUGCCAGACGGGGAAGGUCGUGCCUGGGAGGGAAACGGCUACAGGAGAGGAAACCAAGAAAUGCUCCAACCGGACGCUGCCGCGCGAGUCAAAGGAGGGAAGGACGGCAGGGAAAUAGAGGAGGUUUUCCGGCCCCAUCCGGGAUUCACCCAACGGCUGCAAAGGUGCUCGUGCGACGUCCGAGCUCAUUUCCAGGGAUAAAGGAGCCAACCCAGUCCGGAGCGAUCCCUCGCUCCCAGGCAAAGGC